UACGUAGGGUGCAAGCGUUAAUCGGAAUUACUGGGCGUAAAGCGUGCGCAGGCGGUUUUGUAAGUCUGAUGUGAAAUCCCCGGGCUCAACCUGGGAAUUGCAUUGGAGACUGCAAGGCUAGAAUCUGGCAGAGGGGGGUAGAAUUCCACGUGUAGCAGUGAAAUGCGUAGAUAUGUGGAGGAAUACCGAUGGCGAAGGCAGCCCCCUGGGAUAACACUGACGCUCCAUGCACGAAAGCGUGGGGAGCAAACAGG
rnacentral:rRNA from 1 species